rnacentral:rRNA from 1 species
AUUGAACGCUGGCGGCAUGCCUUACACAUGCAAGUCGAUCGGUAACAGGUCUUCGGAUGCUGACGAGUGGCGAACGGGUGAGUAAUACAUCGGAACGUGCCUAGUAGUGGGGGAUAACUACUCGAAAGAGUAGCUAAUACCGCAUGAGAUCUACGGAUGAAAGCAGGGGAUCGCAAGACCUUGUGCUACUAGAGCGGCCGAUGGCAGAUUAGGUAGUUGGUGGGAUAAAAGCUUACCAAGCCGACGAUCUGUAGCUGGUCUGAGAGGACGAUCAGCCACACUGGGACUGAGACACGGCCCAGACUCCUACGGGAGGCAGCAGUGGGGAAUUUUGGACAAUGGGCGAAAGCCUGAUCCAGCAAUGCCGCGUGCAGGAUGAAGGCCUUCGGGUUGUAAACUGCUUUUGUACGGAACGAAAAGCCCCGGGUUAAUACCCUGGGGUCAUGACGGUACCGUAAGAAUAAGCACCGGCUAACUACGUGCCAGCCGCCGCGGUAA